UGCUCGUGCCCUCUGAGUGGGAAAUACGGUUGGUCUCUUCCAUAGUGUGCGUGCGGGAAGCCCUGACCUCGCUAACAGACUUGACCUCUGAAGAUGGAAAGUAGCUUCACCACAGACCUGCCUACAGUUAAGCCUGGAAACACAACCUCAAGCAAGAAAAGAUGCAGUGCAAUAUCUAAGGAACUAGAAGAAACCAAUAUUUGCCAGGGGAGGGGGGAGACGAUUGCUUUUUUUUUUUUUUUUUUUUUUUUCCUUUCUUUCUUUUUUUCGGAAGUGACUCCAACUUUUGGGGGCUUGAUCUUGGGGUCUUUUUGCUUCGUUCUUUUUUUGCCUGUGAUUGUUUUCCUCUGGCAGUGGGCUAACUUCACCUGCCCUUGGCUUCCUAGCAUCUUUCCUUGGACUCUUAAUGCUCAGUCCAGCAGACAUAAGUUUUAUCUAUUUAAGGUGGUGAGGUACUGUAAUGCACCGACAUUCCCCCCCGCCCCGGCCCGUGCCUCCCCCUCCCCUGUAACGAAGAGCUGAUUCAGCGAGUAGAGUGAAAGCGCACUCAGGAUGAGAUGGCUGCUGCUGAUGUGUCUCUAGGUCAUUACCUCUCUUCCAACUGCAAAUGCUGCAUGGUACUAAGCUUACAGGAUACUAGCUGCUAACUGUACACCAGCACGGAAAUCUGCUAGAAGACCUCAAAGGAAACUGAAGUUCUCACAAUGGAAUACAACUACCAAUUCCAGGAAAAUGCUUUGCAAAGCUACUGGUGAUUCAACUCUCCACUCAAAAUGGUCACUCAGACAGCAAGAGGCUACAAAAACCUGGACAAAUACUUCUAACGUCCACGUCAUCACAGAACAAUGAACUUUAACUGGCUUUUAUCUAUUCUGCAGUGUAAACUUACGUAAAGGAGAGAGGAUUCUGGGGAAAAAAACCUGUAGUAUGCAUCACAUUCGAUAGCUGACAACUGUCCAACUGACUCAGUUUGAACCACAGUUUAGAUCCCUCCAAGAAAAAAGCCUGAAGUCCAUAAGAUCUUCACACACAAAAAUCUUCAGCAACUCUUUGAAGAGGUUUUUCAUGUACUUCCCCUGCAUCUCAUAUUGAUGUCAUGGUAACAUAGACUGUAACUAUCGCAAGAGCUUAAGAAAAACAAUGCACAAGAAAACCUAGCUAACUGGAGUCAGAAAAUAGUGUUCCUGGGCUAUUGUUGUUAUGAGAAUAUGAAAGAUUACAGAUUAAAUAAAUAAUUUAUCAAGUCA